rnacentral:lncRNA from 1 species
GGUGGAAGAAGUACCCCGAGGCGGCGGCGUUCUGGUCGAGGGACUCCUCGUCGUCGGUGUCGACAUCGGCGUCGAUGGUGUCCUCUGGCUCGUCCUCCACAACGUCGAGGGUGUCGAUGGUGUCGAGGGUUUCGUCGUCGGCGACGGAGUCGUCGUUGCCGGAAUCGGAGACGAGGGAGUCGUAGUUGAAAUCGCGAGAGGAGGGGUGGGAGUGCGGGCUGUGGAGGAGGGAGACGGUGACGCACGCCAACAGAAGGAGACCCGAAACGACGACCACGACGACGCACAGGAACACGCCGUAACGGGGGUGACGACGGGAUCGGAGAUUUCUCAGCAUUUUCUUUCGUUGGAAAACAGAGAAAUAUUCAACGGGAAUGCAAAAUGAAUGCAUGCAAUGUUACUACAAGUGGGCCCACUUUGGACUAUCCUCACGGAACAGGCUCAUUGUAUGGUUUUGGCUAUAAAAUUAGGUUAAUUUCUGGUUGGUAUCAAAGUGCCAACAUUACUAAUUAAGCUAUGUUUGGAUAAAAAGCUACCAACAAGGUCUUGAGAUCUCUACGAAAGUUAGUCCCAUGCUUUUCCGUAGGAAUAUCUUACUUGCAGAUAAAAAAUAAAAAGCUGAAAAUGUAUUUUUGGAAAAUUUAAUGUACAUUUUUAAAUUCCAAGACAUAAAUAAAGAAGGAUGAAUUUGGAGUUUAAAACACAGUUUCAAAUAACUGAAGUUUUAAUAUUUAAGAUUUUCGGCCGAUUUUUAGGAAUAAAACUAUUUGAAAUAUAUUUUUAACCUCUUCUAACUAAUAUCUAAACAUGCACUUAGUUCUCGGGAGGCAUGUUUAUUUAGUUUGUACUUGGUAACCAAAUCAAGACCAUUGUCACCGAAAUCAUACAUGGCAUCUCACUCAGCUUUGAGUUUGCUCAAUCACAUAAAUAUUUUAAUUAAUUUUUUCAUGAUAAGUACUUAUUCAAUUAAUUUAUAUUAUAUAAGAUUAUUUUUUAUCUUAUAAUUAAUUAUAAAAGUUAUUAAAAUAAGCUCAAAAAAGUUUAUAAGAAUCGAAGUUUAUUUGAGUCCAAGUUUCGAAUAAGUUCUUUAAAAUCCCUCCAUCAUCUUUAUACCUACUACCAUUUUCACAUACUUGUAUCUGUGCAUUCGCAAAGUAUGUUAUCAGCAACUGCUUCUUCUUGGUAUGCUCACGGUUGCUGCAAUUUGUGUGGUUGAUAUAACUUCAACUGAAAAUUAAAUACCAACUUCCUAAUGACUAAUAUAAUACUAUCUCCAUGAACGGCUUGCCUCCUAACUAACCCACAUUUUAUAUGUAUAAUAACAGUUACGUGCAUCAUAUAUGUCUCACCCAUAACAAACUUGUAACGCCAGAAUUCCUCAUAGGCAUGCUUUAAUUUGGAGAUUAUAUAUAUGACUGGUCCUGCAUGUGCAUCUGAUAUCAGCACCAAUUAAAGAAGAAAUAUGGGAAAUGAAGGUAUUAUGAAUGGUGUUACCCCCGGGAAGGCUACCAUAUUAGCUCUUGGCAAGGCUUUCCCUCAUCAGCUUGUCAUGCAAGAGUAUUUAGUUGAUGGAUAUUUCAGGGACACAAACUGUGACAGUCCUGAACUCAAGCAGAAGCUCACUAGACUUUGUAAGUACAUAAAUAAGCUUUCCCCCCUUUCCCCUUCUCUAUAUAGGGAUAAUUGAGACUCAAUGCAAAGUGAUUUGUGCACUCUUUUAUUAAUUACGCUACCUCUCACCCUUUAAGCAGUUGGUUCUCACACAUGUUUAGAUUAUAGUUUGCAAACCAAGUUUUGAUGGCUAAAAUCGUGUUUAAAUACAACCAACAAUGGCUUUUGCUAAACAUGUUAUGUGUGUUCGGAUUAAAGUUUGCAAAAUUAAGUUUUUAAAGUAACCCAGAUGUUGCUUUCAUCUGAAAAUUGAUUUAAAGCCAUAAUGCAAAAUUACAAAACAGAAACCAAACAUAUCGCGAAACUGACUUUAAUAAGACUAAUGUAUGUACAAGGCAGCCGAAUGAGACACUGACUUUGGCUUAAUGUGGUAUAUAAACAGGCAAGACAACCACAGUGAAAACAAGGUAUGUGGUAAUGUCAGAGGAGAUACUGAAAAAGUAUCCAGAACUUGCGGCUGAAGGCAUCCCCACAGUAAAGCAACGACUAGAGAUAUGCAAUGAGGCAGUGACAGAAAUGGCCAUUGAAGCUUCCCAAGCUUGCAUCAACAACUGGGGUGGAUCUUUAUCAGACAUAACACACUUAGUUUAUGUGUCAUCCAGUGAAGCUAGAUUACCCGGUGGUGACCUUUACCUAGCCAAAGGACUAGGACUGAGCCCUGAUACUCAACGAGUCAUGCUCUAUUUUGCUGGUUGUUCGGGAGGCGUGGCCGGCUUACGUGUUGCGAAAGACAUAGCUGAGAACAACCCUGGAAGCCGAGUGCUGAUUGCUACCUCAGAAACUACAAUUAUUGGGUUCAAGCCACCAAGUGCAGAUAGACCUUAUGAUCUAGUUGGGGUGGCACUCUUUGGGGAUGGUGCUGGUGCAAUGAUAAUUGGCUCAGACCCAAUAUUGGAGUCUGAGAAGCCUCUCUUUGAGCUUCACACUGCAGUUCAGGAGUUUUUGCCACACACUGAGAAGAAAAUAGAUGGGAGGCUGACAGAAGAAGGAAUAAGCUUCAAGUUAGCAAGGGAACUUCCUCAAAUAAUUGAAGACAAUGUUGAAGGAUUCUGUGACAAGUUAAUAAGUGUUGUUGGGUUUGAGAACAAGGAGUACAACAAGAUGUUUUGGGCUGUUCAUCCGGGGGGUCCUGCCAUCUUGAACCGCAUUGAAAAGAGGCUUGAUUUGUUGCCAGAGAAGCUGAGUGCAAGUAGAAGGGCUCUCAUGGAUUAUGGCAAUGCUAGCAGUAACACCAUUGUGUAUGUGCUUGAGUAUAUGAUAGAGGAAGGUCUCAAGAUUAGAAAGGAUGCCAGAGGAGAUCUUGAAUGGGGCUUAAUACUUGCUUUUGGACCAGGGAUUACAUUUGAGGGAAUUCUUGCCAGGAACUUGUGUGCUUGAUGAUAUUAUUAUCACAAGAUGUGUUUAUGUGAUACGUGACUCCAUCAAAAGCAUAUUCAAGACUAUAAUGAUCAAAAGAAGAAAAGUCUUAAAUAAAAACUUUAACCGCAAAAUCCUUUCAAAGCAGUUUUGUGAUGAAUCCCUUCGCAAAUUUAUCAGCACUUAAUAUAACUUUUAAAGAUCGGAAUUCCUUUAUUCACAGGAUGGAUGCCAAGCACAUGUGAUACAUUCAACUAAUGAAAACAUUAGGAAUUAGGAUGCUACAUAAUAAAAAUGGAAAGGAUCAAUUUUGAUAAAAGAAUAAACUAAAGAUUAUCUAUUUGAGUAAUACUGUGAAACCUCGGAUUAGAGCAGGCAAUAACACUUAAACUGAACUGAAUCGGGAUUUCAAUAUUUAUAAUUAAUUCAACUAGAAAAACUAGAGUUUUCACUUUUCACCGAGGCACCGUUAGAAAAAUAAGUUAUCAGCAAGUUUCUGCAAGUUUGGUUCAGUUUGUACAGAUAGCUUGUUAUAUUAUUGCAGGAAGAACUUUCAUCAAAAAAGCUGUUUUGAACUUUGGCUGUACUUUUUGUUUCUUAUCAGCCUAUUUUGGGCAAACAUUAAUCAAAUUCAACAAAACAAUCACCGGAACAUUUGCCAUUGUAACCGUUUUUUACGUUGUAUAGAAUUGAUACCAUGCCUUGUGCAAUUUCAAUUCAAGCAAAGACAAUUACAAACAAAUAUGCUCUGCUCUUUGUUUUACUUUCUUCUAUGUCCCCCUAUGCACCAUGAUUUAGAAUCUAGGAAGGCCUCAAAAAGAGAAUUCCAAAAACAGAAUGCAACCAUUUUCGUAGAUCAGUAAGAACUCUUCGUGCAUCAUGAGCGGGAUUCACAAUGAGGAAUUGCAACAUUAAGAUUUAAGAUAACAUCUCUGGACUCAAUAAUUCAGAUUUGUUUUCUGCAAUGCAACAUACAUAAAACUCGCAGUAUUCAACUGCAUGCAAUAGAUCAAAACCGCGCACAGUCCACAUAUUUUUACGUAGGCAGGGUUCAAUCUAAGACUUACUGUAGAACUUGAGCACAUGGAAUAGUUAUAACAAUAACUAAAUUCCAAGAGUCCAAGCAAAUAGAGACUUUACGUGUAAAGCACUUCCAACCAUAUAUAACAGUAACCUAAACAUAAAUAUCUUUAGUUUCUUUCAUCCCCAACUUUACAUUCCACCAAGGAACCAAACAAGUGUGUCAACACAAUGUACUCGAACAAGGGUAACCAACCAUAAUGCCUGAUUAAGUUAAAAUCAAAUGUGACAGUACACAUCAAAGCAGAUCUUCAAUCACACCACUCCAGAGGGAAGACGUAGAACAAGCUGUCCCCCGAAGACACUGCAAUUUAAAUGAAAAUAAAUAUCAUGAGGACAGGAUAUAUAACUUAUAAGGUUGGUUGGCUGAUUAAGAAGAAAGUGAAGGAGGGGAAAGGUCAUGGAUUUGAUCUCUCCUGUUAACAAAAAACUAACAAACUAACAAUUAACAUUUGCCGAUUAAAAAAAAUCAUGAGGACAACUGGACAAGAGUCAUGCUGGAACGAUCUUGAGAAACUCUUCAGACUGUAAAAUGACUGACAUGGGAAAGAAAGAAAACAGCUAUAUUAGAAACUAAACCAACCUUUUGACAUAAUAGUAACAGAAAUCUGCUAAGAUGAAGGUCUGGACAAUUUCCGAGAUAAGAACCAUUGAUGGCCAUAAACCAUACCCCAAGGCCACCAACAAAUGCCCACGGCUAUCUAACACCUGUAGAAAGAAACAGUAAGUUGGUAGGAGACCAACAGUUGGAAAAUCCAGUAAGAUACACCAUAAAAAGAAACAAAUUAAUAAAAGCAGCAAUCAUGUAACUGGUUUACUAUCAAAAUGAUUUUAAAUUAAUUUAGAAAAACGAAGAACACCAACAUUCAAAGGGAAAUUAGAUACCAACACAUGCCCUUGUAAAGUUCUGCUAGAGGAAAGAUGUCUUAGCUGUACUAUUUAAAAUGAAAGAGAAACUAAAAUUUAUGAAUAAUGUUCACGUUUCAGUCCUUUAAACAAGAUAGGCAUUCCAAAUAGAUAUUGGUCUUAGAGACACUGAUCACCAGCAUGUGUCAGAAAACAAGUGAGCAUCAAAUUUGCAAAUGAAUCAAAGAAUUGACUAAUGCAUUUUUGAGUUUUUAUGAACAGACCUGAAGAACCCAAUGAGCACAGCUCAAGAAUCUUGCAACACCCAGUGCAAAUACGUAGUGAGCUGUGAAUGGCUCAACAAUCUGAAAGUAUAAAAUGAAACAGAAAAAUAGAAUCAGAACCCAUACACGAAAUGUUGGACAGAGAUUCUUAAGUUAGGAAAUAAUACCUUGGUGUUCUGCAUGACCCGCAGUUGGGGCAGGACUGAGACAGCUUCUAGAUAUACACAGAAUGCCCAGGAAAUCCUGUUUAAUAAAUGAUGAGAAGUUGAUGGAUGAAUGAGUAAGGCUAACAUAGCACAUGGUGCCACCUGCAUUCAAUUUCAAAAGUAAAGAAGGCUGACUCAGAUUAAAGGUAAAUGCAAAAGUUACAAGCAAUGAGUAACAAAAUCACAGAUUUAUGAAAAGGAAUAAAUCAAAUCCUUCAAAGUAAACCGACAAGCAAAAGAAAGGAAGAAAGACGGAGUAAAAUGAAAGCCACAUUCAGAUAUGGUCUGCAGCAGUUUUAUUUGACAUGAUGGCACUCGGCUCUAUUAAAAUAAGAGCAUCGUAGUAAACCAUAUGUAUAGAACAUCCCAAACCCCACUCUAGUGUGGCGGAAUAGGAUGAGCUUCAAGUUUUUUUGUUCACAAAAAUAGAAAGUCCACUUCAUACAAUGUCAUGGGAAACAAUUCUCCCGUGUCACUCUACAGAUCCAGAUUUUAUGGUAUUAUUCAUGCAGAAGGCUGAUUGCAUUGGUAUCAUAUCAAUAAUAUGACUAUUUCAAUAUAACAGAAAAUUAGAAAACAACUCAAGCGUGAGAAAGUAUGAUUUUCAGUAUUUCAAUGUACACUAUCAUUUUCAGUAUCAGCAAUGUACACUACACUACCAAAUCUCACAACUCAUGACUUAUUCAAACAGGGAGACAUCCCAUAGGACAUUGCUACCAUCUAUAUGAAACGUUCAAACUCAAGAAGGUCAAAUUUCCAAUUCCACCAGAAUUAACAAUAUUAAAAAAUGCUUCACCUAAUACAAUGUCACAGAAAGGACAAUAUAGAUGGGGAUAGGCUUCUAACCUUAGGAUGAAACAAUAGGUGGAGCACUGGAACUUACCACAUAGUAUAUUGCAAAGUUAUCCUUCUCCUCCAUGUAGCUAGCCUUGAGCUUAAAACGAAUCAUAUAUAUAACCCACACUGUUGUUACGAAAGUAGCGAAAUCAAGUAAGGUGUGGAUAUCAUAUUCCAUGACAAAACUGCAGUACAGCCUUACAGCUAAAAAGAUAGCUGUUAAUUCCUGGGAUUUGAGUGAUAACCCUGUGUGCAUCAUUCAAAACCAUUAGCAAAAUGUAAACCUAAUACACACACACACAUACAAGACACCUCUUUCUUUAUACACACACACCUCUUUCUUAUGUCCAAUAACAAAAGACAAGACAUUGAAUUGUUUGAGCCAACACAAACACACACGCAAAUCAAAUCAGCCAAACAAUGCCGACCAAAUUGUAAAAAAUAAACAAAUAAAUUGGAAAGUAUACAAGAAAAUAACAAUCUUAAAAAUAAAAAUCAAAUUUUGGUUAAGGAAAUCUAGACGGAUUAAAUUAAAAUCUCCAAAAAACUGAUGCUUCUAAUUUUUAUUUUCUCAGCAUGCAAUUUAGAGUUGAAAGAACUGAAUAAGGAGAAACUCUAACCUAACCAAGCCUACCCAAUUAAUUAACAAAUAGAAAUAGAAGAUAAUGUUUAUUACCAGCACAUGUCUUCUCCUUCAUGAGCUUAUAGAUGAGGACGGAAAUUCCGAGGGAGUGGACGGCCUCGGCAGCGACGAAGAGGUUGUCAUGAUCGUGGACGAUGAAGCGAAGGAGCACGAGAGCCGCCAUGCCGGAAACGACGGCGAGAAAAGCCUUCACCUUUGGGGGCUGUCGCCUCACCCAUGUCGUGACGGCGUGGAUCGACGUUCUCUGAGGUCUCAUGGGGUCGCUGAUUGAUUCCCAAUGCUAUUCCUAUUCCUCCCAACACAAACUCACACACACAACCAAACCAACGUUGGAUUGGAACAAACAAACUAAACAAGAAGAGCCCAAUGCCAAAAUGCAGAUUGAUGUUUUGUUUUUGUUUUCUUUUCUCUCUCCAAAAGUUUCAAUUCAACUCAAACAGAUUGAUGGAUUGUACUAUUUUUAAUUUUAUGAUAAACAAACACCAAUAUGUUCCCUCUAAACCCUAAGGAUAUUACUUAAAAAAACAAAUAUUCUAAAAUAUCUAUUAUAUCAAAUCAAAAAUAGAUAUAAAAAAAAUCUAUCAUGAAUAUUUUCAAUCACUAAUGUAUAAUUUACAUAUUUAAAAAUGUUUAUUUAUUAUAAAUUUUAGUUAAUAUUAAAAUAAACAUUAGAAUACUAGUUUAACAUACUUUUCCAAUAACUAAAAGUAUAGAAAUUAAUUUUUCAUUAAUUUUUUAAAUUCUCUUUGCCCGAUUCAUUAAUGGCGACAAUUAAGUAACAUAAUUGUAAAUUAAAAUACUAUAACAUAUGCAUGGAAUUUGUAAGUCUUUGAUUUUUCAAAUCUACAAUUGGUCCCUGACCCCAAUUAUUAAUCAUAAAUAAUCCUAAUGAGUGACAACUAAAUAGAUGAUAAUUUUAGGGAAAUUAUCAUUAGCACGAAACAGUUUUCGUAGAAAGGAGUUUUUGGCACCAAUGAUUUUUCUAUAUAAUAUUUGAAACAUUUGAUUUGGUAACACUUCACUCGUGAAUAGAUUUCGUAGAUGAAAUUUCAUAGGAUAUAACACUGUUUCAUAUUUAUAUCGUUUGGUCCACUGGCCUCACAAAAAAAUAAUUAGCAUUUAUUAGGUAAGAGAUCUGGACACAAUCAGUAUGUAGUCUAUUCUACUCUAACAUAAACUGAUAAAAGGAUGGAGACUUGAUAGGCAUUAUAUUGCAGAAUUAAUGAUAUGAAUUGUAUAUCACAUUUUGUGUGGUGACGCCAACUAUAUAUAUCAGCAAAAUACAUUCUAUGUCUAGUGUUUAACGAUCUCGAUCUAGUUGUACAUAUCAUCCACUAAGAAAUUCAUGCAAUUCUCUAAGAACGAACUCUAGCACAAUGCAAUUAGCUAGAGAUACUUAACACAACGCAUCUCAGAAAAAUAGUACGUAGAACCUAAAAGUAAGAAACAAAAUCUUGAGCUUCUUUUCAGUGUUGCCCUCCACCUCGACCUUCUUAAUCCUUUUUUGCCAUUACAAGUCAAAAUCAACUUGCAAUGAAUUUGAUCUUCUGAGCACAGGCUUUUGGUGUUUGUCUUCCUCUAGUGCCACCAUACCUAAAUGUGAUGGAUCGUCCAAAAACAUCUUAGCCACCAAGUAACCAGCAAUGGACCAAGUUUGGUAUUUGCGUGCCUGCUUCCCAAUGUAACGACCAAGCUUUCCAUCAUAAUAUUCGGUCCAGUUGUCCUUGAGCAACCUAGUUUCAGCAAUUUCAAGGGCUCGUUUUGCAAUGUGGGGUCGUCCUGUCUUGAUAGAGGCAGCAACAAGAAGCCAUAGAAGAACUGCAUCCACCACAAUAUCCAAAAAUGUAACUCAGAAUUUCUUCAACUAUAUGCUAAAUGCCCCCUUGCCUCAAAGGACCUCAUGAGAUAUGUUUACACUAGAUAAAAGACUGUAUCUCAUUUCAGUACCUAAUUAAAUAACAUGCUGUAGUGUAUGCAAUACCAUUCACUGUUCUAAUCUAAAUAAUAGAAUCAAUAAUCUUUUCAAAUAAAAGUAUUGUAUGCAAUAGUAACUGAAAAUUCAAAUUUGUAACAUAGUUCAAUGCAAAUGUGGCCUAAGGGCAGAAGAACUGAUACCUGGCCAAGAUCCUCCAUUGUGGUAACUCUCCAUCUGGUGUUUUUUGGGUCACAUCAUGUUAUGAUCCGCCACUCAUGGUUUUCAAGGGCUGGAUAACAAACUUUUAGAGGCAUCUCCCCAAUCAGUUCCUGCCACCGAGAUUCGAUGAGAUCCAUGAUUGCAAUGGAUUGCUCAGGAGUAGUCAAGCUGGACAAAAUUGCUAUGCAAUUACCAAGGCAAAACCAACGGAAAUCCAUCCUAGCAGGACUAUCAUUCCCAAUAAAUUAACCACCUUUAAGUGGCAUGAAAUCAAAAACCCAAUCAGGUAGAGAAUCAGGAAUGACAUUAAACUUGUUGACUGCAGUAUGUGAGUAUUCUUCUGUUUUGAAGUGAUAUACAUCGUUAAGUUGCUUCAAAUCCAACCAAAAAUAGCUUCUCAGGUGAUAGCUUAAGGCAUGCAAGCGUGUGGUAAUUCGUUCUCUGAACUCCUCGCCUUCAGCAUCUUCCUUUAGCAAUAGCAAGGCACACCCUAAAGCCAUGAAGAAAAGUGAUUGAAUCUCAAUUGAAUAACCGUAAACACCCUAAUAUGUCAAAAAAAUGGAAGUAAGAAAAAUUACGGAAACUGUGGAUGUGUUGUAUUAAUGGAAGCACAAGAUUGGAUUGUUCUUGACUUAUAAAUUGGAUUGAACUCUUCAAAAUAUUAAUCUGCAAAAAUUGAGAAACCUAGAACUAGAACAAUAAUGUUUUCCUACAGCUAAUGCCUUGUUUUAUUCCCUAGACAAUGUAAAAUAUGAUGGUGCAGUUCUUAUAGAGUUCAACAAAGUCACCAUUCUACGAUCUAUCAUGCAGCAUCCAUCCGCACAUAGUAGAGUGGGGAAGGUGUCAAAUCCCUCGGAAAGGCAUAAAUUCAAAAUCAAGCGCAUGCCCUUCUGACAUUCAGGCAGUUCAGCCAAGGAAUUGUCUCCUGUGGACUUUGUGUAUGCACACCAAAAUCCCGAAUCAAUAUGGGAAACCCUGCCUAUUGCACUUUCACCAAAGUCUGCUAUCAAGGUCUCAUGGUUUCUGACUGGAUCAUGAAGUACUUUAAAACUUGCUGGCAUUACUCCUUCUUCUAGGUGAAACUUAUCAAUAGUUUUCUCCCAUGAUUGAAGGCGAAGGGUCUUCAAGAUAAAAUUUCUAACAAUUUCAGGUUCCCCCUUCGUCAGAAAAACCAAAGCACUAGGGACAAAGUCUCUUACAAACACCUACACACAAAUAUAGCAUCAUAGGUUAACUCUCCAUAGCAACUCAAAAGGGGUAGAAAUGAUAUAAUAUAUACAAUGAUCAAAGCCAUAACCAACCCUUUUUCAGAAUUUCACAGGACACCGACUUUUUUGCAAAAAAAGUUGUGAAUUAUUAGAGACUGUCAGUCUGUGAUCAUUUGUCAUGCAAAUCAAUCACAUAACCUGUUUGUUUUAACUUUGCACGAUCAAGCCAGUUUGUCUUGUGAAGGGGAGAACAAUAAUCACCCACUUCGUUGAGGGUGCACAGAACAUGUCAAUUUGGUUUGGGAAAAAAAAUAAAAAAACUCAACCAAUCAAAAUCAAAUGGUCCGGUUUGGUUUGAAUUUAAAAAACCAUUUAAAAUAUAAGUUUAGUGGAAAUUGAUCAUUUAAAUAUAUUUUUCUAAAAUAAUACGGAUCGUUUCAUUUUCAAUAAAUAUGAAUCUGACAAUGGAGCCAAUUACAAAAAUCGGAUUUCAUCCAUUCGGUUCAAUUCAAUUUGUCGGUGCAAAGAACUACACGGUUUAAUGAAUUUUGACAACCAGGGGUGAAUAAGAUUUGUGUAUGUUUAUAUAUAAUUUUGAAGCAAAUUGAAAUUAAAUAAUGUUAAGCUCGAAAGAGUUCCAUAGGUCCUCGCAAUUUGCAUCAUCUAUACGUGCUAGUUGACCCCACAAUUUGGUAUGUGUGAUGAUAAUAUCGUCAUUCUCACGGAAUAUGAUAGCCUAGUAGAUAAUAUAAAAAGAGCAACUACGUACCAAAUUAUUGUGUGGAGGACAAAUAAUGCCUAUUAAUAUGUUCCUUCCUUCCUUCUUGUUGAGAUUCCCUUUGAUUUGUUUUAUAUGUAGUGAUAAAAAAUCCAUGUCAUAUGGGUAGAGCCUUAAUUUCCUUGCUUGCUAUUGUAAUUGUAUGCUAUGCUUUGACUUUAUCGUUCUAAAUCUCUUCUUCUAUAAACCUUGUUAUUAAUUUUCUCGGGCCUUCAAUGGGUUACUAUUAUUGUAAACCCAGGCCUUGUGAUACUCGUACUCCCAAUGUUGUUCUGAUCUUGGCCGUGGCCUUGCUUCUUCUAUGUGCACCAAAGCUCUUCUCAGGUGAAGCAGAGGAAGAAGAAGAAACGAAUAACACCUCACCUUUUGUGGUGCCAAUAAUCGUAGUACUCAUCCUGCUUUUGUUGUCCUUUUUGGGAGGUUCAAGCAGAAGAAGGGUUUGUGUCAAGCCACCAUAUUGUCAGUGUACGUAUGCCUGCUACUGUUACAGAUAGUGCUAUCGCCGUGAUCACGGAUUUGAUCUCUAAGUUUAUGUGUGUGAAAUUAAAUUUUUAAAUAAAUUUUAGUAUUUUAAAGAAUUAGUCGUUGACUAUUCGCUAGAGAUAUAAAAAAAUAAAAAAAAUUGUCCAAUACCUUGCUGAUGGAUGAGGAUAAAUGGUAUUGUGCUCUAUCAUCUUUGUUAUCUUUACUAUUGUCUUAAUAAGACAAUGAUGAACAUGUAAUUUAUUGUUUCAUAUUGUCGGUGCACCAAAAUUUUAUGUUACUAAUGUAUUACGGGACAGUAAUUAUAUAUAAUGUUCCUAUUUCAUAUAUUCUUAUCGGUCAAGUCACAUUAUAAUUUAAAUAUGUUAUGCUGUAUGAUUGAAUUUUCUAGCUAGCAUUUUUGAAGUGACCAUUCUGUGUUCAGUUAAAUUGUUAUUAGUUAUGCUUUUAGCUAGAUAGAUAGAUUAGAGUUGGAACUUGGAAGGAAUGAAUUCUUCUUUUGGAUUGCAGUUUGCUGAUAUACCGUAAACCGUAGGAAAACAGAAUCACAACUGCAUGAUCAACACGAGUUUAUCCGUGAUCCUUGCGAUGAAAAAUGGUGUACCCUCUAAUUUACAAUAUUAAAGGGUUGUUUAUAAUGUAGGAGUACAGCUGUACAGACUAUUCAUGAUACCGGUGCACCACAUUUAUUGAGUGUAUGGUGGAAAUUAGGAAGAGAAAUAAAUCAAUAAACUAAUAUAUGUAAUAAAGAGAGGAAUAAGAAGAAAAAUUGGGUGUAUGUUUAGCAUUUUUCUUUGUUGAGGUUACGUGCUUCGUUUUAUUUAUUUUCAAAAAAACUAAUAAUUCCUUGUUAUCUUUUAGAGAGAGCUGGUAAAAAAAAAAGAUCUUUUUUUUUCCAACUAAACAAACAUGUCAUGUUUUGUGUAAACUCAGUUUUUUCAUGGAGAAUAGCACGUAAGAACUUAUGAGAGAAGGUCAAAACUCAAAAGGGGUAGAAAGAAGGGGAAAACCGGGAAAGUGUGACUUUAUUUAUAAAGUAGGUAAUGGCCCAUCCGUCCCCACACUAGCUCCAUUAUUUUUUUAUGAUAGCUAUCUCUGAUUCAUUCUAAUGCGGUAUCAGUUUCAGCAUUGAAGUGGACAACACAAAAUUAGCACUGGUUAAAUUCUAGCAGAAAUGAGACAGAGGUAUUUGAAGAAGUUGGACAGAGACAUCUAAAAUGCGUUAAAAAUGCAAAUAGUGUUGUUUGAGGUAAUCAUUUUUUGUUGAACAUAAUAGAUGCAAUCACUCGAGAGGGAAGUGGGCGAAAGAGACACUAAAGAGAAUCAUACUUUUGAUACAAAUCGUUAUCAAUUUUUCUUUCUUUCUUUUUUCUAAGUCGAUAUCAAUUUAAGUUCGUAUAAAAAAUAAUCAACCAAAUAAAAGCUUUUUACAUUGCUAUAUAAUACCAAUCACCACCCAAUUGAUUAAUAGUAUACAAUUUUUUGUUCCAUGUAUCCAAAUUAAAUCCAUAGAGUAGUUAUUACAAACUCAAUGUUUAAGAAUAUCACAGUCUGUGAUUAAAUAUUCUUUAAAAAAUGAGAUUAAAUAGUCGCGCAAAAAUAUUUUAAUAAAAUCUAACAAAAUUCAGAACUCCCAUACCCAAAAGACCAUAAAAUUCAAUGGCUUAUGGUAGAAGCAGAGCCUCCGCUGUUUUGGAUGGCUUCACUCUGAAUCCCUUUGCCAUAUCCUGUUCUGUUAAUCUUAGCACUGAUCUUCAUCUUGCUUGGCCUUUCAUGGUACUUUUCCUAAGAAUAAGCGGUUGAAACUGCUGAACAACAAUUGGGUUGGUUACUGUUUGCCACCCCAGUGGUGCUAAUUCUCAUAGUUAGUUAGUUAUCAUCAUCAAUGGAAAAUUCAGAUUGGUUCCUCUAUGCUUCGUUACCAGGGGAAAGGCGCGGCUGGAGAAUUCACUAAGCCCCUUCAGAAAGGAGCUCUCCAUGGGGUGGGGCUGCUUUGAUCCCGGUGUUGCUGAUAAUGGUGCAAUAUCAAUCCAACUUUCUUGAUAGCUGGUUUCUUUGAUUUUGAUUUUUUCUCUAUAGGUUGGUUUUAUUUUUCUGUGCCUUUUGAUUUUUGGUUUUUACUAACUAGGAGUCUGUGGAAAAAUCCUUUGAGUAGUGUAAUUUGUAAAUAUGUAGAUACAUAUGUGACGGUGCUUGUAUGAAUAUAAUAUAUGAAUCAUGUUAAAGGUGGUUAGGUGAUUCUCAUAUAGCUGUGUGUGUCCCUUCUAAAUGAUCGCAAAGAUAAGAUGAAACUGAGAUUCUGAGUUUUUCUUAAUUUUUUUUAGUUGGAAAAGAGGGUUGCUGCUUCCUUGCAUAUGUUCUUUUACGUUAAAUUUGAUUAAACAAAAGCGAUUUCACAAGUCAUGACAAAAUAAAAACAAGUAAUUCUAAUAUUUUAAGAAACUUGACUCAACCAUCGUCAUAAAAUUAUGUAACUGCUCUAACUCUAAAAAGCUUGGUUAUUCGCACCAGUUUUUUAUUUUUUAUUUUUAUUCAUGGUAACUCUCGGGUCAAUUCAAAAGAAAAUAUGUCCAGAUUAUUGAUGAAAUUAUUUUUCACUCAUGCAGGUCAAAUCAUAAAAAAAUAAUAUUAUAAUGCAUUUUCUACAACAAUUUUAGAGGCGUAUUUUAUCUUUAUGUAGAUUUGAAUUUAACAUUGGCAAGUUUCAUGGCAUAUCAACUUCAACCGGAGAUUGGAAGAGACUAGUGAAUGAAAAGCAUAAUGAAUUACGAUAUAAUGCUUAAAAAGAAAACAAUUUAUUUGAAGCCAUAAAAGGUUUUCGUUCACAAGGGAAAAUAGUUGUUACUUGUUACGCAUUCCCAUUAAACUAACUACUCAUGCUUUCAUAAAUCUCACCAACAUAAGCACAAGAAAACGAUAGCAAGAACAAACCAUUGAAUUGCUACGUGGAGAUCAAGUUCCAUUAUUUUCACAAGUUAAUUUACAUACAGAAUGUCAGCAAAUAAUUCAGUAAUAUAUCAAUAUAUGUAUAUCUGACCUGCAUAUGAACAAGAACAAGAAUUUCAACAAAAGCUGCCUUAUACUUGUGUGUGUGGUGAUAACAUAUGGGAAUUCUGUCUCCUUCUCUGAGAGAUCCUAAAAACCACUUAGAAUAAAAUAAAGAUUAAUAACAAAGUGAUAGCAGUGGCAGCGGUAGCAGCAAGAUGAGUACGUUCCAGCUUGGAGGGAGACACGACAACUCGAUGGAAUGACUCGUGCCUGGAAUGCAUGCAGCAAAAGUUGAGCCUUCUACAGGUGUAAUAUGAGAGCAAGAAGAAUCCAAACAUGAAGGGCGAAAGGAAGAGGAAUGACUGAAUGUAGAUGGCUGUGUGAUUCUGCUGAGCCUUGUAGGUGGUGUAUUGGGAGAGCCACAACAAGCUAAGGACAAUGCCUAAUAUCACAAGCAAGUGAAGAGUUGGAGAAAGAGAAGCAGCAGUGUCUAUGGUCUGCUCUUGCAAUAUGCAUUCCUGCUUCCAUUCUGCACUUUUCUUCUUUGUAUAGAACCACCCCAUUUUGCUCUCUUUCUUUCUCACUUAAUGAAACAUGCAGAACUAGACUGUAUCAUAAGCACACUAGGUUAUAUGGAGAACAUAUCUUUACCAUAAGACAAAUAAAUGUAAAGAUUAUUUUUUCCGCAAUGGGUUAUAUGGAUUUUAUUUCGCAAAAAUAAUAUCAAAAUUACAUCUUAACUUUUGGGGAGUAAACGACAGCAGUAAUACAAAUGAUAACACAAAAUUUAAUAAGAUAAAAUAAAAUGAUAAUAUGGAGAGAUGGAAAGGAUAGUUUUUUGCUCACAUUUUUUCUCUCCACGAAAUCAGUAAUUGAAACUUACCUUAUUAAGCCAAAGUAGCAUAAACUUGUGAAUAAUGAGAGCGAAGAUAGAAGACCAAAGGGUCGCACAAGCUGAUAUAGAAAAAUUAUAUUUGAAAACAUUUGUUGGUUAUGAUCUCAUGGAGAAGGGGGGAACGUUCAGAUUUGUGAAGAAUAUAUAGAAGCAAAGGCUGAUGAGAAAUAUUGUGGCUAAUUCAGAUUUAAAAUAUUUUCAAUACACAUUUAAAAAUUGAAAAUAAAUAGAAAUUAAAAACCACAUAAAUUUCUCCACAAAAACCCACCAAUGCAUCUAUGAUAAUUGACCUUGAGAAAUCCUAAAACAAUUUAUUAUAUUCUGAAUAUACACAUUUGAAAUUUAAAAAUAAACGAGAUUAAAACCCCCAAAAAUUUCUACACCAAAAAUAAGAAAAUGAGAUAAAAUUAAUUUUGUAAAACAUUUUUGUUAUUAAUUAUUGAUUGAAACAAUUAAUUACUAUUAGUAAUAUAUAUUUAAUUCGAUUGAAUAUUUUUCUCUCUCGCUAUUUUAUAGUAUUUUUAGAAACCUUGGCAUGCUAGGGAGGCUAUGAUAUGACUCAUGAGAUGUGGUUCUUUUAAUAAAAAUAUAAUCAAACACUAGUAAAUUAAAACACACAUAAUAUUUUAUAUUUAAUUAACUAUCAUAUUUUCUUAACAUAAUUAUUAUACUUUUAAUGAUAUUUUGAUUGAUUCAAAUUUUGAUUGAAAUUAAAAAUAACAUAAAUGAUACUAAAAAAAUCUUUCUAUACUUAUCCUAGAUAUAAUUGGGUUAAAUGGAAACAAAUCAAUUGGAAUCAAUAUUGAAUUAUUGAUAAUACAUUAUCAUUUUUUAAUUUUAAACUUUUAUUUUUCUUGAAAAAAAAUAUUAUCUAAUAAAAAAAUUAAUUACACAAUUAAUAUGAAAAAAAUUAAGAUGAAAAAAGGCAGGACCUAUUUUAAAAAUGUUCGACAGUCUUAGUCAACAAAUAUCUUUCAUAUAAUAUAUUGAUUUAUAGUAUCCUUUAGAAACCUUGGCAGCUUGCUAGGGAGGUUAUAUGACUCAUGAGAUGCUGUUUUUUUUUUAAUAAAAAUGUAACCAAACACUAAUAUAUUAAAACUUACAAAUAUUUUAUAUCCAAUCAACUAAUAUAUUCUCUUAACACAACAGUUACAUAUGAAGAUAAUAUAGUUCUAAUAGAAUCAAGAUUUUUCAUGUGCGGCAAACUAUUUGUAAUUGAAGUGAUUGUUGUCCUUCAAGAAUAAUCAUCCUUUAUUUUGUUUGAAGAAAAAAUGUACUUAGAGGUUAAUGAACAUAAAAGGCUAAACUAAAAUAUUAUAAUGCCAAAUUAACUUUAAUAUAACCAUAUUUAUAUUUAUUUAUUAUUAAAUUAAAAUUUGUAAAUAAUAAAAAGUAUUAUCCCACACAUAAUGUACGGGUUAGAGGUUAAUUGAACGUAAGAAGUAAAACUAAAAUGUUGUAAUGCCAAAUUAACUUUUAUAAAAUUAUAUUUGUUUAUUAUUAUUCUUUUUAAGUUAUCAAUUUUUUUUCUAAAUUACAUUUAUUUAUUAUUACCUCACACAUAAUGCACGGACACACAUACUACGUAUUAUUGCAUUUACUUUCAAUCAUUUAAGUCCAUGUUAUCAAUUUUAUAUUUUUUUUCAUUCAUUCACUUAAUUUUUUUUUAUUUUUACAGGAUUAAAUUAAUGAUCUGCAUAAAAAGUGAUUAUAAUUGAACAAUUUAAUUUUUUUUUAAUAAAAAUGAUUUAUUAUAAUUUACAUUGGAGUUUUAUUACGUAGUUUCAUAUUUUUAAACAUAUUUCUUUGACUUUGGGAGAGUAAUAUUAUCAAGAUUAUUUUAUAGUUGUAUUAAAAAUUAAUCACAUUCAAUUAUGUUUUCUUAUUUCCAAUUAAUAAAAAAAACUUAUAGACAUGUGAAUUGAUUUUUUUAAUAAUAUAAAAAUGAAUAAAAUUGUUAAUAUAUUUUUUAUAUAAUCUAAAAAAUUUUCCUCCAAAUUUUCCUGUGCGAUCCUUACAUCACAAGGGUACUAUCUAGUUAUAUAUAAUAACUACUUUAAUUAAAUAUCCACAAAAAACUACUUUAAUUAAAUAUAAUAUAUAAUUGUAAUUAAAUAAUGAAUAUAUAUCUUUAUAAGAUCAAUUUCAAAGGACAAUUAUAUAUAUCUUUAUAAGAGCAAUUUCUAAGAACAAUUAUUCAAUAAGUGUUUUUAUGAUUUUUUGUUUAGCAAUAAUUUUUUCUUAAUUUUCAUCUCUUUUAAUAUAUUAUUGUCAUAUUUAUUUUUAAAUUAAAAUUUUAUACUUUUUAAAAUAAUUUAUCAAAAACUAAAAUAACUUUAUAUCAUAAUAUAAAUUAUUUAUUAUGAUUUUAAAAUAUAAAUUAUAUGUUUAAAAAUAUUUUUUUAUUAUAAAUUUUAAUUACAUAAAAUAAAUAUUUAUACUGCACAUUACACAAAUUAAAAUAUUAGUUAAUCAUACAAUAAAAUAAUAGUCAAAUAAUUGAUUAAAAUAAAAGAAAACAUUUUUUUAUAUCGUAUUUUUAUGGUCUUAGUAUACAUGAGUAGGAUAAGUGAGUCACCAAGUGCCACGUGAAACGACCAAUGAAAAGCGACAAUUCCAACAUCUAAGCAAAGAGAGUACGCCCUAUAUUUAAACGACAUCGUUCGUGGAAUGCGCAACUUCUUUCCCUAAAACACACCCCAUUACAAUUCUCUGUAUUUCAGGGUUGAAAAUUCACACGUUGAAUUGAAAUUUGGAAAUCGUGACACCAACCCUACACCACCAUGGCCUCCGUAGACAAAUUUUGGGCUUUUGCCCUCGCUCUUCUCCUCCUUGCCUCCCCUCUCCUCCAAGGUCUGCUCCCUCUCUUUCUAGAUCCAGAUCUGUUUCUCCUUCGAUCCUUGCAUGUCACGAUUAUCGUGAUUUCUUAUUAGAUUUAUAAAAAGGUUCCUAUUUUUACUUUGGUGCCGACCCAAUCGUUCCCUUUCCAGCUGCCCCUUUGAGCUCUGAUCUGCUUUAUUAUUGUUUUUUUGGAUUCUGAUCUUUGCUGGGACCAUGUGUUUUUGCUUGCACUGCAUUCCUGCUUUGAUAUCAAGGAGAGUGAAAAGAUCGCUUUUUUAGGGAUGGGCAUUUUACAAUUGUCGAAAAUUUGUAUCUUUUAACAUAGAUUUCAAAAUUGAAUUCCCGAGCUAGAUUGACUUAUAGGGGUGGAUUGAUGGUAUAAUGCUAUGUUUAUCUGGAAUCUGGUUAUGUUUGUUGCGCUGUGUUAAGUUUGUCUGUCAAAGAUACAUAGAUGUUAAAAAUUCAGCAUGUCUCUUACUCUCUGCUAUUUAUUAUUUUAUUUGCCCCAUUGGAUCUGUCUAAUAACUUCAUAUGCAUGUUUUCAUGCAUUUUGUGCAUGGUCAUGAUUAGAUGUGGUUUUUUCUACUUGCUAGUUGCUAGGUGUCAGUCAGACUCCGAAGAUGUAGUGGAGGCUGCUGAAGAAUCAAGUGAUAUCGGCAUUGUUGGUGAUGAUGUCCAAGACUUUGGUGAUGGGACCUUCCCUUCUGCUCCAGGAAUUGAAACAAUAAGUGUUUUUCCAAAAAAUAGUGCGAGAUGUAAGAAUGGUUCUGUCUAGUUCACCAAAAGUAUGGUUCAUAAUGCAUUCUUUUGUUUUGUUUGAUAGUGGGUUGAAUUUGCUUUUUCAUGUAAAUUCGAUGCAGUGAUAACAGCUGGAGAAGAGACAGAGCUGCUUGUUGGUGUUAAAAAUGAUGGUAAGUCAAUCAAAUUUGAUACUCAUUGUUGUAUUUUAGCUUGCAGUUUGAUGCUUUUGACUUUGUUAACUGUUAUGUUUGUCACUAUUCAGUAGUUAUGCCUUUCAUUUUUCGUAUGACACUGGAACAUAUCUUCAUUUUUCAUUAUUCUUCUACAUAAUUUUCUUAUUGAUAUACGGAGAGAGUGGAAACAAAAAAAGAAAAUAGAGGUAUUCAUGCAUUAGCAGAUUGGCUAAUUCCAUUCGUUGUGUGGAAUGAAAACAGGGGAUUCAAGCUUGAAUGUUAUUGCGAUCAAGGCUAGUGUUCACCUUCCUUUUGAUCACCGUAUGCUGGUUCAAAAUCUUACUGCACAGGUAAUAAGUUGCUGAAUUUCGAAAUUAAACGUGGCUAUUUAUUUGUGAUUAAGAAUUAUACUGCCCAUAUUAUUUUGAAGGAUUAGUUAUGCUUGAUAAAAAUUAAUGAAGAUUCUAUAGAAUUAGAAUCAAUACUGGGAAUAAGCUAAUUAUUUAUUCUAAAAAGAGAGUUUCAAAUAUUCCUGAAAAUAGUUUGGGUAAUAAAAUGUAAAGUAUAUGUUGUUUGGGUCCAAGAGUUUGAAGAAACUCUUAAUAGUUUUCCACUUCAUACUCUCCCCUUCAAAGACCAGGUUUUAAAAUACUAGAACUAUAAAUAUUCAUAUGACAAGGAAUGCUAUAUUUGGCCCUUGUAUUGACAAUGGUUUUUCAGCAUAUUUGUGUAUGCAUAUCAUAGAGUUGUCGCCGCCACUCCUGUAUGCUAAAAGGGUGAAUAGAUGUUUUGUGAUAUUUUUCAUUUCCUUUUUAUUUCAUCCAGAGUCCAUGUUCCCCAUAAAAUAUGAGAGCCAAUGAUUUUGUCAGGCUAGAUAAUGCCAACCGUCUAAGUAGUUCUGCAAGUUCAUUUGGGAACAUUGAAUUACCUUGAACAAAUUACUUUGGGAACUUUUGGUUAAUACGUCAGUAUCACAUUAUUCAGCUUAUUCUCUGAUUCAGCAAAUGGUAUUGCUCAUAAAUAUUUUAAAUGCAAGCUUUUGUUUUAAUUGCAGGGUUUUAACAAUGGUUCUGUACCAGCCUCAGCACAAGCUACUUUCCCAUAUUUAUUUGCAGUCAGUAAGUUCUUGCAGGUAUCUCCAUGGCUCUAAAGGCCAACGCUUUUAGUUUCUCAGUGAGUAACGCAUCACAAGGGAAAGCAUCACUAGGGACUAUUAUACUCAUUAUGCCUAAUAAUUUUUCUGUUUUGCAGGCAGGAACUUUUGACCUUGUGGGCACUAUUAUAUACGAGAUAGAUGAACAUCCAUAUCAAAGCACCUUUUUUAAUGGCACUGUUGAGGUUGUUGAAUCUGGUGCUUUUCUUAGCAUGGAAUCCGUUUUUCUUGUUACUCUUGGGGUUGCACUCCUUGUCCUCCUGGGGCUAUGGAUUCAUGGCCAAAUACAGUACCUAUCUAAGGUACUAAAAUCUUUAUCUUUUUCAAAUAAUGUGCUAUCAAGGAUUGCCUUCACUAUUAGAGUUUGCUAAUGGUACUCCUCAUAAUAUGUCCUGAUUUAUACUCAGACUUUGCACUUGUUUGGUUUGCUAACUACAAUGUGUCAUGAGAUCAUAAGUCAGAACUCAGAAUUAUUUGGUUUUCUUGUUAUUUGAUUAUUUUUGCCUAACUCCAUGGUUCAUUCAAAAUUCUUGCCAAACACUACUUCAUAGUUCAUACUAACUGCGAUUUGGCAGUGUAUUAAUUUUAGAGUUCUACCUUAUAUCCAUUUCCGUAACGAAGACUACUAUGAAAUUGUCCUUUGCGGGAGAUUGUUAGAUGGUCUAGGACGGAGAGGUCUGUAAAAUAAUCAGCAGCUUUCUAGGAGAAGUCAUGUUUGCAUGGUUUUAAGCUAUAACUGAUGUGAUUUGUGUGAUUUGGUGUGGGUUUUUAGUUAUCUAAAGCAAGAGAAUCCAUUUACUCCUGGAGCAUACAAGAGCCUCUCUCUUAAUUUGAUGAGUUUUUCAGAUCUCAUGCAUAUACAAUAUUAAGAAAGGCAGCUGAUCAGAAUUUUCAUUUAAAAGAAAAUCUCAAGUGUUUCUUUUUGUUUCCCACUUAAGUCACUUAUUUGCUUACUCUUUCUGAUAAUUUCAUUCCUGCAAAUGAAUAUUUGGUCAGAAAACAAAGAGGGCUCCAAAAGUUGAAGUUGGGACUAAGACUACUGAUGCUUCAACAGAUGAAUGGCUACAGGUCUGUUCGUAUGCUUUACGGUUUUAUAUAAUGUUGAAAAUCAGGAUAAAAUAAUAUACAUAUUUUGAUGUCAUAUUUGAUGCUUAAACCUGCAAUGUAACAUUAUUGGAUUUAUGAAAUCUCUUCCUAUUCCUUUUAUUUUGACACACAGGGAACUGCUUAUACUCAGUCUCUGUCAAGCAAGUCAAAGAAGAAGAAGUAGAUAAACAAUUUCUCACGUUCAGCCACUCACUAGACUCUACCAUGGAUAUGGAAUACAGAAUCCUGUAACUGACUAGGGUUGAGUAUGAGAGAACACGAGGAAGUAGUUGUGAAAUUUUGGCUGAAAGAUCCAGCUUUCUGUUGUAGCUUAAGAAUUUUUACUUUUCUACAUUUGAAUGAAGUUGAGCUUUUUCUAAACUAACAAGGAUUUCAGUUAGGAAGGAUACAACUUUUGAGAUGUGGCAUAAUUUUUAUUAGAUAACGUUUGUUUUACUUUUACCUAUAUCCUGUGUUUGUGGGUGAAUUUGGAUUUUUGGUUUCUAGUCUAUGCCUUUUCCUCAUUUUAUAUAUUUAUUAUGACGGAGCUUAUUAGUGGAAUGGAAGUUAUAGACAUGGGAUUGAUUGAAAGUAAAUUCGUAGGGGAUGUAAGAUAUUAUCUUGACCUAGUGGGAUAGGACUAUUGUUGCAAGAUAUUUAUGUGGUGCUGGUAUUAUUUGGAACCAUAGAACACAGGAAGAAAUAAAAGUGAGGAGAGAAAUCCUUUCAAAGUGGCAUGUUGACUCUUGUACAAGUUGAAAACACGAACUUUUUGGGUGGUGAGAAAACUUUGGGAAAACAGAGGAAUGAAAUCUUUGGUGUUGAAAGAAAUGCAAUAUAACGCAAUGAAACAAAAUUAUGGAUUUUUUUUGUUAUCAUGUCAUCAGAAUGGAAAUAGAAUAUCUACUGGUUUUGUUGAGGAUUGUUUAAGGAGAUUGGAAUUUGGUUUUACUUAGAUUAAUGACUUAUUGGUAAAAAAAUCAUGAAUUUGAAUGCGGAUCAAUGGGGUGGGUGGGAAGGGUUUAACGUUGAACUUCCUCUUAAACCAUAGUUUUCGGGGUACCGAUGAUGUUGAAGGCAAGUUUGAUUGGGUGUGGAAAAGUACCCGGGAGGGAGACAUUGAGAAUGCAGCUAAUAGGUAUCUAUCCUAUCCUUUUAAAGGUUUUGUAUGUUUUUGGUUCCUUCUUAAGAAUUCAUCUAGUCCAUCAAUGUAUGGUAAUUUUGCUAAUUUUAAUACAUCAAAAAGUGGAGAAGGAAGAAUGUGUUGUUUUGGAAAUAAAAGUACUUUUGAGUUCUCAUCUCAAUCAAACAUGCACAAAACGGUUGAAGUUGACAAAUUAAUUGUCUUUAUUUAAUUCCAUCUUGUUUCAUUUAAGUAUUGAGAUGGUUUUAAUUGUAAUUGUUUGUAGAAUUAUUAAUGAGGGAUAUGACUGAAUAUUUUUUUUCCCAGACCUUAAUUUCUAAAAUGAUAUUAGUAUUGAUUUUUGUUUCUCUCUAAAAAGUAUAAUUUGAGAAAAGGAGAUAAAGUUUAUUGUUUUUUUUUCUUAUAAAUCAAAUAAUGUCAUGUAAAGUAAUCAUUAUUUUUAUUUUCUUUCAUCUGAUUUUUCCUUCAUUUCUAAAUAUACAGACAAAAAUUCAAUCAUUAUUUCUUUUUUAAAUUACUCAUUUGGUUCUUAUAAUUUCACAAUCUAUAUCUUUUAAUUCAUAUAGUUUGAAAGUGAUUUUUUAAGUCUUUAUAGUUUAUAUUUUAAUUUUUUUUAGUCUAUAUAGUUUAAAAAAUGAUUUUUUAGUCCUAAUAAUUUAUAUUUUAAUUCUUUUUUAAUCAUUCUAGUUCGAAGGUGAUAUUUUUAGUUUCUAUAAUUUGUGUUUUAAUUAACUUUUAAUUCUUAUUACAAAAAUUUUAUAAAAAUAAUUAGUUACAAAUUAGUUAUAAAUUAUAAAUUAUUUUUUAUUACAAGUUAUCUUGCGCUAAAUUAGUUAUAAAUUAUUUGUUAAUGUUUUUUUUUAGUUUAUUGUAAUUGAUAGUAUAUCUAAUAUUUUGAUGAUAAAGAUUAAAAAGGAAUUAAAAUAUAAAGUAUAAGGACUAAAAAGAUCACUUCCAAUUAUAGGGACACAGAAUUAAAAUGCAAAUGAUAAGGAUUAAAAAAAUCACUUUCAAUUAAACUAAAAAAUAAUUAAAAUAUAAACUAUAUAAAGACUAAAAUGUACAAAUUAAAUGAUGAAACUAUAAGAUCAAAUGAUUAAUUAAACAUUUUCUUUUACCAAAUUGUUAUAUUUUGUUAAAUGCAAAUAAUGAAUUAAGAUACUUUUAAGGAUUGAUAAAUAAAAAUAUUUAAUGAAAAGAAUUCAAAUUUCUAAAUGAAUUUAAUGAUGUAUUUUUUUUUAAUUUCUUAUCAAGUAUUCUUAAUUUUUUUUAUCAAAAUUCUUUUAUAUACUUUUAUUUUAAAAUAACUUUCACUUUAAAUGAUUUGUUUUAUUUUAAAUUAUUUUUAAAAAAUAAAAACAACAAAUGUAUGACAAACACCGCUAUUUUUUAAAAUGAUUUUGAAGACUUAUAAUCUUUUUUAUUAGAAAAGAUUUUACUUCAGAAUGUAUAUGGCUAGUACUAGUAUUUAUGAAAUUUUCUAUUGCUGUGUAUUAACCAAAGUAUAUUUUUCUCUAAAAUUGGUGUAAAAUAACACAUGGUAUCUAAGUUGCAUUAAUGAUGUACAGUAGACAAUCCUUUUUUCUUUCUUUAAACUUAAAACAAUAUGUUAAAUCAGUAAAUCUCUAUAAUUAAGGAUUAAUUGCUCGAUCAUUGACAACUAACACACAGUAACACUUGUAUUCAAAUAUUCAAUCACGAUUUAUAUACCUGUCAAUUAUCUGUUACAGCAAAUGCCUACAGCCUACACGACGACUGAUUGUGUCCGGAAUGUAGCAGCACGUUGGUUUGUGUUACUUAAUGUUUCAUAAAUCUCUAUACGUAUUUCUAUAAAAAUAAUGCCAAAUCCUUCUAUUAUAUUCUCUUAGUAAUCCUUUUUUUUUUGUUAAAACAUAAACCAACAUUUUAUAUAUUUUAUUAUAUUAAUUACAUUAUUCAAUAUUUUUAUAUGACAUUGACUGUUCAGAGACUUAAUAAAAAAAUGUUAUAAUUAACAAGAUAUAUAUAACAUUGCUCUAUAAAAAAUUUUAAAUGAAUAAAAAUAAAAACUAUCAAAAAAAUAUUAUUAAUGCAUUCUCAUUAUAAAUUUCAACAUAAUUUUUAAUUAAAAAAAAUGGCUAUCCUUCAACCAGCUAGUGUCCUAAUUAAUUUCAUUAAAAACAGUGUCUUAAUUACUGAAAGAAGGUUACAAGAGAGUAUAGUACCAAUAAAUCUCGCAAAGUAAAUAUUUCAUAAAUAUCUGAGGAAGUCAUGUUAAUCACAUAUGGCACUUGGGGCCACUGCAUCCAUCCAUUGUACUUAUUAGUAAAUGCUUAGUCUCUGAGCUUAUAUUUAAAACAUUUCCGGACAUAGUUGGAGGAUAUGAUUAGCCCCUAAUAAAGUAUAGCUAUGUACUAAAAUAAACAAGAGUUGGAUUCAGCGCGAAAGUGAUUGCCAACUACAAUACUUUCGUAGCAAUUAGCAGAAUGUCACAUUUGUUUCUAAAAUUGAUAGAGCUCUCCUUGCUUUCCACCAAAAUUGAAUUGAUGAACACAGCUCUAUAAAACCAUCAAUUAUAUAUGUAUCAAAAGUCAAUCAACGAAGAAAGAGAUGGAUAGGCAUAUUUUAAGUAUUGANNNNNNNNNNNNNNNNNNNNNNNNNNNNNNNNNNNNNNNNNNNNNNNNNNNNNNNNNNNNNNNNNNNNNNNNNNNNNNNNNNNNNNNNNNNNNNNNNNNNACGGUACAUAUCGCACAGAAACCACCAAGCCCACCAAAGGUUAAGCCUCCACAUCCACCAAAACCACCAAAGGUUGAGCCUCCUCAUCCACCAAAACCACCGAAGAAACCACCAUGCCCACCAAAGGUUAAGCCUCCACAUCCACCAAAACCACCAAAGGUUGAGCCUCCUCAUCCACCAAAACCACCGAAGAAACCACCAAGCCCACCAAAGGUUGUGCCUCCACUUCCACCAAAACCACCAAAGAAUCCUCCUCCUCUUCCACCAAAACCACCAAAGGAGCCACCAACACCACCAAAGGAGCCUCCUCCAACACCGCCAAAGAAGCCAUGUCCACCAAUCUUCAAGAAACCACUUCCACCAAUCCCUAAGUUGCCACCACUUCCUCCAGUUCCAAUCUACAAGAAGCCACUUCCACCUCUUCCUCCACUCCCUAAGUUGCCACCACUUCAUCCAGUUCCAAUCUACAAGAAGCCACUUCCACCUCUUCCUCCACUCCCUAAGUUUCCACCACUUCAUCCAGUUCCAAUCUACAAGAAGCCACUUCCACCUCUUCCUCCACUCCCUAAGUUUCCAACACUUCAUCCAGUUCCAAUCUACAAGAAGNN